AUUGAACGCUGGCGGCAGGCCUAACACAUGCAAGUCGAACGCGUGGCGGACGGGUGAGUAAUGUCUGGGAAACUGCCCGAUGGAGGGGGAUAACUACUGGAAACGGUCGCUAAUACCGCAUACCAUCGGAUGUGCCCCGAGGGGAUUAGCUAGUAGGUGGGGUAACUGCUCCCCUAGGCGACGAUCCCUAGCUGGUCUGAGAGGAUGACCAGCCACACUGGAACUGAGACACGGUCCAGAAUCCUACGGGAGGCAGCAGUGGGGAAUAUUGCACAAUGGGCGCAAGCCUGAUGCAGCCAUGCCGCGUGUAUGAAGAAGGCCCUCGGGUUUUAAAGUACUUUCAGCGAGGAGGCGUGACUCGCAGAAGAAGCACCGGCUAACUCCGUGCCAGCAGCCGCGGUAAUUC
rnacentral:rRNA from 1 species